rnacentral:lncRNA from 1 species
CCUAAAUUCAAUGAAUGUUGCAAAAGUUUGCAAAGAGGCCUUGCUUUAAUGUCAAACCCGGCAGCAGUUAGGCCAAAAAUGGGGAUUUUAAAUGCUCCCCAAACAUGUAAAUUAUCCACACCAGCACUUUCUUCUACAAUGAAUGAAGCUAUUACCAAACUGUAGCAAAUAUUUACUGGUUUUAAUUCAUUUUGCCACCAAAUUUCUCGGAAUCUUUUCAUUUUCUGCCCUCUCCUUUAAUACAAUUUAAUUUAGUUUAGCUUAUACUUGAGGUUUUUUUUUUUUUUUUUUUAAUCAGUAAUCAAUUCUGAAUUAAUUUCUGCGUUCCCAUCUCUCCAAUUUAUUGCUAUAUAUAUUGUUCUUGAAGGCAUGGAACACAACAUCUAACACUUUGUCCAGAAAGAGAGAUUCAGUAUUUUCUGCCAAAAUUUUGGUUGAAAAAGGUGCCUACUUAACUUGUAAUAUUGUGUUCUUUAUCGUUUUUUUUGUUUUUUUUUGGUUUUUCCUUCUUUUCUUGUUUGAUUUACUGUUCCAUUGAUGAGUACAUAUUUGGCUAAUCUUGAAAAAUGUAUAAAAACCUUUCCUUUUUUUUUUUAUGAACACACCUGUAUAAAUUACUUUUUCUUCCUUUGCUGUUGAAAAUGAAUAACUUGCUUAUUUUCAAACUUACUAGCACAUAAACUUUUUUAAGCUUAUCCAAACAUGCUCUAGUUAGUUAUAUAAUACAUAGACGGCAUGUUUGAUACAAAAUACUUGUCGACACUGCAGUAGAUAACAGUUGAGAAUUUAAACUAAUUUUUCAUCAUUGAUCUCAUCGAGUUGAGCAUAUCAAACAUGUUUAGGGUGCUCUUUGGACUAAAACUUCGCAUUUUUUGAUUUGUUGUGUGGUUUUCAGGGCAUUGAAGGGUCCAAAACUUGAUUGGAAAAUGAAUUUAUCCCCACCAAGGGCAAAUCUAAAAGUUCAGUCUCCCAAAAGAUCUGUUUCACCUAACGAGAUAUCGCCUCGAAGUUCAUGCGGGUCCCGGGAAAUGAGCCCAAACGACACUUUGCGCUACUCAAGCAGCCCCGAGGCCACUUCCAUGAUGCUUGUCGGGUGCCCUCAAUGUCUCAUGUACGUCAUGCUAUUCGCGAAGGACCCAAAAUGCCCCAAAUGUAAGAGCACUGUUUUGCUUGAUUUUCUGCAUGAAGACAGGAUCAAGAAAUCCAAGAAGUGAAGAGCAUUUUAUCCUCUACUGAAUCUCAAUAAAGGGAUAUUCCUAGUACUCCCAUGAUUUAGGAUUUGUUGGAUUUGUAAAAUUUAAAGGUCCGUAUACUUUCUUAAUCGUAUUAAUAACUUAUUCAAUCAUCAAAUAUUCGGUACGUUGAAUUGACGUGGACUAGACAACAUUAAGCAAGAGAAACAAAUGAUGCAUUUUGUCUAUUGUCCAAUAGUUGUGUUCAACAUAGCAUAAACAAAGUAUCCUAAUGCAUUAUUGUAUAUCUUUUAAUUUUCAAUUUUGUAUUAUGCUACUAAUGGGUCGUUUGAGAAUGCACCAAAUGAAUUCAAAUUGGAUGUCAC